rnacentral:tRNA from 1 species
GGGGAUUUAGCAAAGCGGCAUAAGCGCCUGCCUUGCAAGCAGGCAGUCGUGAGCUCCAUCCCCA